UGGAUUUGGGGCGCGCGCGAACUGUCCCGACAACGGCGGUGCUGCCUACCAACACCAUGUGCAAGACUGCCUGACUUGUCCUCUAUCUUAAUGUUGUCAGCAAGAAGUUACUCCAAAUUCCAUCGCCUAACAAUAUCAUCAGUUGUAAGAAGUUAGGAGUUUGGUACGUACCCCGGUGCAAGAGACCAUGGAUGCAAAAGUCAGAUAAUUAGGAACCUGGACUACAAGGGCAAAUGGGAGGCACCUUUCAUCGACAUUCAGCCCAGGGAACCUCAACUUUCCCACUGUUGUACAUUCAUACUACUGUCCAUGUAUCGCUUCUGCUCAACUAUAAUACACGGAAACAUGAAAGCUCAUGUUUUUCCCUUGUUUGUGCAGAGUACAAGGAUGAUUCCUACAUCUAUGCAUUGAUAUGCUGAACCACAUUGGCAUUGAGCCAAGCCAGGUUAGUGCUUCAAAAAUUCUGAAAAAAUCUGUGAAAUGUUGUUGACACUUUGUUAAGUAUUUGGUUUAACUAUGUAUAUUUGAUUCUUAUCCUAUGAAGCAUAAUUAAAGUGUUGACUCUGUUUGACAUUUUGAUGUAUUACAUCUAAUUAGUAGCAUUUGACUUUUGUUUCAUUUUAGAUGUCUGAUGUAGACAACUAAGGCAAUGGCU